GCCCGGGUGGUGGAAUGGUAGACACGCGACACUUAAAAUGUCGUGAGUAACCCUCGUGCCGGUUCGAGUCCGGCCCCGGGCA
rnacentral:tRNA from 1 species